UGUUGCUGUGAUGCAAUGAAGGUGCAGAGAAAAGGAGGAGAAACAGACGAGUCUGCAAGCUCAGGACCAGCAACAGCCUCCAGUACCUCCAUAAGAAGAGGACAGAGCUGAAAGGUCCCUCAGGAUGCACACAGAAGGGCCAGAGUUUUUCACCCUUGAUGCCAUUUCCUCCAGACGACAGGGCUCAGCGACAGUGCAGGCUUUGGACGUUCCAUGACACUGUCACAGAACUAUACCAACUGCUAGAGCAGGAGCUGAGGCCUGAAGGAGUGGAAGUGGUAGCCAUCCUAUCCUGCUGACAGCUACACUGAACUUCCAUGUGACUGCCUCCUUCCAAGGCACCCUGUGUGGGAUCUCUCAAUCGUCCAUCCAUGAAUGCAUAGAGUGAACAAUGUCAUUUCUGCCAGAUUAAGCUGCUUCCUCUCAUUUCCCUGUGACGAGGUCAGUGCUGCAGCCUGAAGCAAUGGGAUUUGGUAACGUCGCUGCAUCCCCCAGGCGAUGGCUGUGAUAGACUGUACCACAUGCUGCACUGAGAGGGCCGUUUCAUAACACAACAAAAAGGUGCCAUUGCAUCAAUGUACCAGCAACAUGCUGGUGGAGCAGAUGAUAGGCAUAGCAGUUUGUGCUCUGCUCAGCUGGAGAAAGCAGAGUGCGGAUUUAAUGGACACUGACGAACCAGGCCAGUAUGAACAGGCUUCCAAGUAGGAAACUGAGGCUGUUCACCAGGAGGAACAUCACGGCUCCUGAUACAUACAACACAGCAAUAUCGGGUGCUACAAGCCUGUCAGGACUUCAACAACAACCAGUUCCUGUGGAGGACAGCUGGGUGCAGGGAUUACUCAUUGACUGUAAAAUUGUUGUGCUUGACAAACAUGCAAGCAGUUUUUGUUCCAAGAGGCAAAUGUAACUCCUGUUUGUUUGAUUUUUGUUUAUUUUGGUAACCGUUCAUGAAAGUGAAUGUUUUGAAGCAACUGAAGAUGUCCGUGUGUUAUGGACCCACAUUGAACAAUAGGAGACAACUCAGAUGGUGGGGAUGUACAGAAAGAGCACCAGUGUACAGAAGAGUGGAAGGACCUGUGAUGAUCUGCUGUGACAUGCCAGCCAUUUUGAUGACUCAGAUGCCUCUUCAUGUACUGCACAUUCUACAAUUCUUCAAGAUUCUGCUCAUCCAUUACCAUUACCUUCAUUUGGGGUCCAGGCAUCCAGAGUCUGCAGUAUUUUACUUUUGAUUCAUCUGCCGAUGUUAAGGGGCCUGGGUAACUCUCCAGCUUGCAGAGUGGCUUCGGAAUUUCCAACAGCAUGGGACAAGGCAGAAACAGUCAAAAGUACACUUGCGUUCAGCUGUCCUGUGCAAAUGACAAACUAAUCAUACAAGUUUACCAGGAUAACCAUCCAAACAAAUCAGGGGCCUUCUUUUAUAUUGUGAGGUUGACAGGACUGCAUUUAUUUCCUGACAAAUAGUUCUGGAAGGUGGUAGAGAAAGUAUCUGUUCUGUACUACUGGGGGUCUCUGGUAACAAGGUCUCUCAGUACGCUUAAAGUAGGAAAUUAGUCCAACAUUCCACUACGAGAUAUUUCAGUGCUAACAAUAAUAGUCAACAUUUACGAAAGACAUCAAAGAGUGGACAUCUGUCACUACAUCAAAUUAUUUCCAAUAAACGAUUCCUGAGAAUUUGGGAACACGGGUUAAUUACACUGUUACAAAACCCUAACAAUGCAUCAAUUUGCUUCAGUCCUAUUACUUCUAUUUUGGUGUACAGUACACUACUUACAGCAUGCACUGAAUUAAGCAGUUAACGGAUUCCUGAACAGUGGCUAAGUCAGUGAUUAAGCAGCAGAUUUUACUGAUGAUAAGGCAAACUGCCAUUAUUUUGCAGUUUUUUUUUACCCCAUGAGUUAUCAGUCAGAAAUGGAACAAAAGCAAAACAAAACACUGGAAAUACUCAGCACAUCAGGCAGCGACUAGAUGUAAUAUUCUCCUCAUACGUCAGACCAACAUUAGAUAAACCAGCCCUAAUACGUUCAACUGUCUAUAAAAUGGCCGAGAUUGUCAAAAUGAUUUGGAUUUACUGACAAACAAUGAUACAACUGUAAAAGCUAUCUGGGAGGUAGAAUUUGCAUAAACAUUUCAUUAACUAUUAUAGAAGGAUCUUCAUGGACUUUAUGAAAUAUGAUAUAAUUAGGAAGCGUAUAUAGCCAAACAUAUAAUGUAACCAAAAACUGCAGAUGCUGGAAGUCCGAAACAAAAAAAAAUUGCUGGGAAAACUCAGCAGAUCUGGCAGCAUCUGUGGAGAGAAAACGUAGUUAAUGUUUCAGGUUUAGUGACCAUUCUUCAGAACAGAUCUGAAGAAGGGUCAUUGGACCUGAAACGUUAAUUGUGCUUUCUCUCCACAGAUGCUGCCAGACCUGCUGAGUUUUCCCCAAAUAAGCAGUAUCACUCGAAUGGUGAGUUUAUACGUAUAGCCAAGAGAUGAAGAACCAUGUCAAAAACACAACACAUUAGUCAAAACACUUUAGAAACCAAAAUCAAAACUUCAUGAUCAUGGAUUUUUCUUUUAAAAAAUGGCUGUCACUAGAGUGAUACAGGUAAGGUGGGAAAAAAAAUACUUGAAAUGGACCGAAAAUGUCAAGCUGUAUUUAAACAUCUCUUAUGUAAUUUGAUAAGCAAUUCAACCAAUGACUACCCAACCGAGGGAUACUGCCAGAAUCCAAACGCAGGCUCAAUAUCAGCUGAAAAAAAACAGCCCCAAGUUGACUUGCAUUUUAACACCAACAUCAAGGAGCCAGGAAUGUGUCAAUAAAGACUCUUUUCAAAAUCAGUCACCAAAGGAUUUGGGAUAAUCAUCCAAAUAAUACUCUGCGAAUUGUGGAAAAUAGACACAUAUUACUCAGGCUUUUCCCCUUGCAUUCAUUAGGACAAAUGGCAAGUUUCAAACAAUCCCAACAAAUUAUACUGCAGGAGAGAAAGGUUUACUGAUCGGUUGGCAUGUCAACCGUGAUUGGCCGAGGAUUUUCUAUAAAGAAUAAAACAGGGAAAUACAAGCUCCUCACAUUUCCAUGUAAUUCCAAAUAGGUGCAGUGCUUGAACAUAUUCCUUUUAAUAAUAGAAAGAUCAGACACUAGGAUUAAUAUGUGUUGCUUCUAGCAAGUAUAAAUAAGUGAGACAAUGGGCCCAACUGAUUAUUUUAAAUUGAAUGCCAAUGUAACGAUUAGCACACUCAGGGUUAUUCAUUAAGUACAGCCAAAUCACAGAAGAACAUCUAACAGGAGACAUUUCAACAUCUAUUUUUCUCCUGUUGUAUAAAUCAUUGUGACUAUUUGAGAUUUGACAUUAUUGAAUUUGUACUGAUGGAGCUUACUGAUUUCUACUCCAGCAACAUGUCUCCCUUUUCAACAAUUACCUUGUACAAGCAUUUUUUUGGUUGGUUACAAUACAAGCACCUCCUUGCUGAAGAAAGAUUCCUUGCCUGGAUCUGCACCUCUUCCCCCACUCUCUUGAAGUUGCUAAUUCUUUCUGGUAUACAGACAGACAAUGGCUGCCUUCUUAGACAUCACCCAAAGUGGCAAUUCUUCACAUUUGAGUUUAAACUCAACUAUCUUUGGUUGAUCACUUGACAGCACAAGUCUGCAUCAGGCGGCCUAAUUUGUCUAGCUGACACAUAGCACUGAAGUUCUCUAAUGGAGAUUAUUGCAGGAUGUUGCAGUCACAUUUCAUCAGGGGCCAAUGAAUGACAGCCAUCUUCUUCACCAGUGCUGAGGUACGGAUGAUCAUUUCCUUGCCUAUCAUGCUCACAGACUGAAAAUUUGGCCUGGGACUUGUUGAGCUACUGGCAACUACACCCAGUAAUGCGUUUAUCCAUUAUACCUUUGAGGGAGCUGGGAAAGUUAGAAUUGACAAUCUUUUUCAAUAGAUAUUAUAACUGAAUGGAAAUCCCUAGAGUACUUACUUUCUGUUUUAUACCCUUUAUCCCAACAGUGCAUUUCCAGUUUGUUUUGAUAAAUCAGUUGUUUUCUGAUUAAUUAGGCCAAACCUAUCAGUGACAAUAAUUUAUUUAAUAACUUCAAUGAAAAAUACAGAUCAGCUAUAAAGGAUACUUUUACAUAGUAACAUCAAGAAGUUGAUGGUCAACUAUGUCAUGAGGAAUCAUUGUUGCAAAUCUUAUGAUGUACAAAACUGGGAGGAGAGAUGUUAAUACAAAGAUGGGUUUACAUGGAGUUGUACAUCAUCCAAAAUUGAAUUCAGAAUUUCUCCAACAGUCCAGGCACGAUGACCAUCAGAAGACUUCAAUGGUAUCUGUCAGCUGGACAAAUUAGGCCACCUGAUGCAGACUUGUGCUGUCAAGAGAUCAACCAAAUCUGGUUCUGUUCAGCCAGUUGUCUCCUUGCCGAUUUGCAGGCAUUUAUAAAGUCAUAUAAUUAGGUAAUGCAGCAAUAGGGUUAGCAGAGGUUCCACACAAUACUCAAAACGUUCACAGUUUUCUGAGUGAAUGAGUUCUGUAAUAAAGAUAACCUGUGUAGAUAUGAACUUAUGACUAAUGAAUAUACAAUUCUGAAUAUGGGAUUUGAGGGUUAAGUUAAUAAAAAUUAGUAUCUUGCACACCUCUUUUGUUUUAAAUGAUCAUAUUUCAUGAAAUGGUGACAAAUGUUGACAAUCAUAAAUAUAUUGACAUCCUAUCUCGACUAUUUCUCAAAUCGUGAUAACCUGGACUAUACAUGGUUGAAUGUUUUGGAUAGUGAACUACAUGGUAGAAUAAUUUGUAAGAAAACUUACCAGAAUUGGAAGCUGUACUGGUUAAGAAGUGUUCCUUGCCAAUCACUGCUUCACUUUUCUUCACCGGCAAUCAGUUCUUCCCAACACUUCACUCAAACACUUGUGAAGAUUUUCCAUUUUUCAUAAACCUUUAUUAAAUGCUCACU